UUGAGCCGGAUGCGAUGAGAGUCGCACGUCCGGUUCUGAGGGGGGCCUCUGCCUGAGAGGGCAGGGGCCUACCCGAC
rnacentral:ncRNA from 1 species